GAUUACAACUGCUCUUAGGAUGAAGUGACUGGAGCCCAGAUACCUUAUUUAGCAAUCAGUGCUCGGCACAAGGACUUGCUGUGCCAACGAAAAGGAAGCGAGGCAUUUUGGCUAGUCACCGCGUUUUUGCUGCGUCACAGGGAGACAGAAGAUGGGCUGCUAUUUCGUCGGCUAAAUGCUAUCAUUUUAAGCACCGUUCCAAAGAAAACAGGGAUCUUGCCAGAGGAAAAUAACAUAUACCAUAAAGGAAAAAGAAAUGUGCAUCAAGGCAAAUAAACAGCUCUCUACUAAGGGCCUAGGAUCUUGCUAGACGAGUCAUUUCUCUGGUUGAAAAGCAGUUGAGAAAGGCAAGACAAGGGGGGCGGGGGCCCAGCAGGGCACCUCUGAGCCCUUCCUGCUGCUCUUCAAAGACAGACGCAUUUUCCUUUCUACGGUCUCCUUGCAAGUCUUCUGUAGGCCCUGCCACCUUCAGGCUGACUGACUGCCUCCUUCAAAUAUCAGCAUUUGGAAGGGUACUGGGGAGUCGACACCCUCAUGUCUGUGAGCUGACUGCAGGACGUCUCCUGUCCAGGUGCUGGCACCUCAUCUAACAUUUGAAGGUAAAAGCAGCUCUGGCCUCCUGCAGGUGCAAGGACCCGGGAGCCGCUCUGUGGGCUGGGCUCA
ensembl:lncRNA novel transcript